rnacentral:rRNA from 1 species
UACGGAGGGGGGCUAGCGUUGUUCGGAAUUACUGGGCGUAAAGCGCACGUAGGCGGCUUUGUAAGUUAGAGGUGAAAGCCCGGAGCUCAACUCCGGAAUUGCCUUUAAGACUGCAUCGCUAGAAUUGUGGAGAGGUGAGUGGAAUUCCGAGUGUAGAGGUGAAAUUCGUAGAUAUUCGGAAGAACACCAGUGGCGAAGGCGACUCACUGGACACAUAUUGACGCUGAGGUGCGAAAGCGUGGGGAGCAAACAGG